GAUGAACGCUGGCGGCGUGCCUAAUACAUGCAAGUCGAGCGAACAGACGAGGAGCUUGCUCCUCUGACGUUAGCGGCGGACGGGUGAGUAACACGUGGAUAACCUACCUAUAAGACUGGGAUAACUUCGGGAAACCGGAGCUAAUACCGGAUAAUAUAUUGAACCGCAUGGUUCAAUAGUGAAAGACGGUUUUGCUGUCACUUAUAGAUGGAUCCGCGCCGCAUUAGCUAGUUGGUAAGGUAACGGCUUACCAAGGCAACGAUGCGUAGCCGACCUGAGAGGGUGAUCCGCCCCACUGGAACUGAGACACCGUCCCGACCCCUACGGGAGGCAGGAGAAGGGAAUUUCCCGCAAUGGGCGAAACCCUGCCGGAGACACGCCGCGGGGGUUAAGAAGGUCUUCGGCUCGUAAAACUUUUUUUUUAGGGAAAAACAAAUGUGAAAGUAACUAUGCCCGCUUUGCCGGUACCUAAUAAGAAAGCCCCCCCUACCUACGU
rnacentral:rRNA from 1 species